rnacentral:rRNA from 1 species
AUUGAACGCUGGCGGCAGGCCUAACACAUGCAAGUCGAACGAGUGGCGGACGGGUGAGUAAUGUCUGGGAAACUGCCCGAUGGAGGGGGAUAACUACUGGAAACGGUAGCUAAUACCGCAUACCAUCAGAUGUGCCCAGAUGGGAUUAGCUUGUUGGUGGGGUAACGGCUCACCAGGGCGACGAUCCCUAGCUGGUCUGAGAGGAUGACCGGCCACACUGGAACUGGAACACGGUCCAGCCUCCUACGUGGGGCAGCAGUGGGGAUUAUUGCACAAUGGGGGCAAGCCUGAUGCGGCCAUGCCGGGUGUAUGAGGAAGGCCUUCGGGUUGUAAAGUACUUUCAGCGGGGAGGCGUUACCCGCAGAAGAAGCACCGGCUAACUCCGUGCCAGCGGCCGCGGUAUUU